ACGUAGGGGGCGAGCGUUACCCGGAUUUACUGGGCGUAAAGGGCGCGUAGGCGGUUUGGCAAGUCUCCUGUGAAAGCUCCCGGCUUAACUGGGAGAGGUCGGGGGAAACUGCUAAGCUAGAGGGCAGCAGAGGAAAGUAGAAUUCCCGGUGUAGCGGUGAAAUGCGUAGAUAUCGGGAGGAAUACCAGUGGCGAAAGCGGCUUUCUGGGCUGUUCCUGACGCUGAGGCGCGAAAGCGUGGGUAGCAAACCGG
rnacentral:rRNA from 1 species